UACGUAGGGUGCGAGCGUUGCCCGGAUUUACUGGGCGUAAAGGGCGCGUAGGCGGUAGCACAAGUCAGUUGUGAAAUCUCCGGGCUUAACUCGGAAAGGUCAACUGAUACUGUGCGACUAGAGUGCAGAAGGGGCAACUGGAAUUCUCGGUGUAGCGGUGAAAUGCGUAGAUAUCGAGAGGAACACCUGCGGCGAAGGCGGGUUGCUGGGCUGACACUGACGCUGAGGCGCGAAAGCCAGGGGAGCGAACGGG
rnacentral:rRNA from 1 species